GUCCCGGUAGUGCAAGGGUUAACACUCGCCUUUGGAAAGGAUAAGACGCGGGUUCAACUCCCACGCGAGAUU